GGCCUUGACAUGUGGAGAAAAAUCCAGAGAUGGAUGGGGGCUUCGGGAACUUGAACACAGGUGCUGCAUGGCUGUSGUCAGCUCGUGUCGUGAGAUGUUGGGUUAAGUCCCGCAACGAGCGCAMCCCUUGUCCYUAGUUGCCACCMCGUAAUGGKGGGAACUYUAAGGAGWCCGCCSGUUWCAAACCGGAGGAAGGUGGGGAUGACGUCMAGUCMUCAUGGGCCUUCGGCCAGGGCU
rnacentral:rRNA from 1 species